AUUGAACGCUGGCGGCGUGCCUAACACAUGCAAGUCGAGCGGUAACAGGUGUAGCAAUACAUGCUGACGAGCGGCGGACGGGUGAGUAACGCUUGGGAAUCUGCCUAUUAGUGGGGGACAACCCGGGGAAACUCGGGCUAAUACCGCAUACGCUCUACGGAGGAAAGCCGGGGACCGCAAGGCCUGGCGCUAAUAGAUGAGCCCAAGUCGGAUUAGCUAGUUGGUAGGGUAAUGGCCUACCAAGGCGACGAUCCGUAACUGGUCUGAGAGGACGACCAGUCACACCGGAACUGAGACACGGUCCGGACUCCUACGGGAGGCAGCAGUGGGGAAUAUUGGACAAUGGGCGAAAGCCUGAUCCAGCGACGCCGCGUGGGUGAAGAAGGCCUGCGGGUUGUAAAGCCC
rnacentral:rRNA from 1 species